rnacentral:lncRNA from 1 species
CUGAACUACAGCUUCUUUUUUUUUAUUUUUUAUUUUUUAUUUACUCAAUAAGCAUGCAUAUAUAUAAUAUUUGAUAUAUGAAAAGUGUGAUCAAGCUCUCUUGGCGAUAUUGUGGAUCACUUGUUUACUUUCUUCAAGUAUCAGCUGGGAACAGAGUGUACCCCCCACAAUAGCAUCAAUUUAUCACUAUUGUAUAGAGAAGAACAUGUUGAACUACUGAAUC